UACGGGGGAUGCAAGCGUUAUCCGGAAUCAUUGGGCGUAAAGCGCCUGUAGGUUGUUUAAUAAGUCUGUUGUUAAAGACUAGGGCUUAACCCUGGGAAAGCAAUGGAAACUACUAGACUAGAGUAUGGCAGGGGUAGGGGGAAUUUCUAGUGUAGCGGUGAAAUGCGUAGAUAUUAGAAAGAACACCGGUGGCGAAAGCGCUCUACUGGACCAUUACUGACACUCAGAGGCGAAAGCUAGGGUAGCGAAAGGGAUUAGAUACCCCUGUAGUCCUAGCCGUAAACGAUGGAUACUAGAUGUUGCAUAAAUGUGCAGUAUUUUAGCUAACGCGUUAAGUAUCCCGCCUGGGGAGUACGCUCGCAAGGGUG
rnacentral:rRNA from 1 species